rnacentral:rRNA from 1 species
GAUGAACGCUGGCGGCGUGCCUAAUACAUGCAAGUCGAGCGAACGGACGAGAAGCUUGCUCCUCUGACGUUAGCGGCGGACGGGUGAGUAACACGUGGAUAACCUACCUAUAAGACUGGGAUAACUUCGGGAAACCGGAGCUAAUACCGGAUGAUAUUUUGAACCGCAUGGUUCAAAAGUGAAAGACGGUCUUGCUGUCACUUAUAGAUGGAUCCGCGCUGCAUUAGCUAGUUGGUAAGGUAACGGCUUACCAAGGCAACGAUGCGUAGCCGACCUGAGAGGGUGAUCGGCCACACUGGAACUGAGACACGGUCCAGACUCCUACGGGAGGCAGCAGUAGGGAAUCUUCCGCAAUGGGCGAAAGCCUGACGGAGCAACGCCGCGUGAGUGAUGAAGGUCUUCGGAUCGUAAAACUCUGUUAUUAGGGAAGAACAAAUGUGUAAGUAACUAUGCACAUCUUGACGGUACCUAAUCAGAAAGCCACGGCUAACUACGUG